rnacentral:lncRNA from 1 species
UUUCAGAAUUCUUUGGUGGCAGCUAACGGUUUGGAACAAAUGCAGUAUAGCUCAAGGAGCCCUGGUCUCGGGAUAAAAAGGAGUUCAAGGCCAGUUUCUGUUACGGGUCUGAGCCAAGCCACAUCACUUCUCUAAACAAGCACUGGCCUCCAGAUAAACAGUAUUAAAACAAUUACAACUCAUCCAGCUCACAGAUGCUGAUUCACUGAACCCCUGUUCCACCGACCAGAAACAGCUUUGACUGGACAAGAGGCUGAAUUCAGUAACUUUCUCCUGAUGAGAAGACCACCAGCCAUGGACUGGUUCUUGCUGGUUUACAGAGACUGCACACCUGUGUACCUUCAUGUCCUGAAAAGAUCUUUUGACAUAGGGGCUAGGUAUAAUACAUUUCAUCUAUUCAUUUCAAAAUGAACAUCGGUCAGGACCACUUUCUUGAAUACUCAGCUCCUCCUGUAACUUGUUGAACAUGUAUGUUUAGCCAACCUUUUCAGCAUAAAACUCCUACCCCAACCCCUCCUCCUUCCAAACGCCUGUCUCUGGUCUUGGCUAGAGGCAGGCUUCCCAGCCUGUGGGACAACCACCUUGCAGGCUGUAACCUUUUAUAAGAAUUAAAGCCUCUUCUCUUCUAA